AUUGAACGCUGGCGGUAUGCUUAACACAUGCAAGUCGAACGGUAACAGGAGAGAGCUUGCUCUCUUGCUGACGAGUGGCGAACGGGUGAGUAAUGCAUAGGAAUCUGCCUUAGAGUGGGGGAUAACUCGGGGAAACUUGAGCUAAUACCGCAUACGUCCUACGGGGUAAAGAGGGCCUCUACUUGUAAGCUCUCGCUUUAAGAUGAGCCUAUGUCGGAUUAGCUUGUUGGUGGGGUAAAGGCCUACCAAGGCAACGAUCCGUAGCUGGUCUGAGAGGAUGAUCAGCCACACUGGGACUGAGACACGGCCCAGACUCCUACGGGAGGCAGCAGUGGGGAAUAUUGGACAAUGGGGGAAACCCUGAUCCAGCCAUGCCGCGUGAGUGAAGAAGGCCUUAGGGUUGUAAAGCUCUUUCGCUAGGGAAGAUAAUGACGGUACCUAGUAAAGAAGCCCCGGCUAACUUCGUG
rnacentral:rRNA from 1 species